CCUACGGGAGGCAGCAGUGGGGAAUUUUGGACAAUGGGGGCAACCCUGAUCCAGCAAUGCCGCGUGAGUGAAGAAGGCCUUCGGGUUGUAAAGCUCUUUUGUCAGGGAAGAAACGGCAGUUUCUAAUACAAGCUGCUAAUGACGGUACCUGAAGAAUAAGCACCGGCUAACUACGUGCCAGCAGCCGCGGUAAUACGUAGGGUGCAAGCGUUAAUCGGAAUUACUGGGCGUAAAGCGUGCGCAGGCGGUUAUAUAAGUCAGAUGUGAAAUCCCCGGGCUCAACCUGGGAACUGCAUUUGAGACUGUAUGGCUAGAGUGUGUCAGAGGGGGGUAGAAUUCCACGUGUAGCAGUGAAAUGCGUAGAUAUGUGGAGGAAUACCGAUGGCGAAGGCAGCCCCCUGGGAUAACACUGACGCUCAUGCACGAAAGCGUGGGGAGCAAACAGGAUUAGAUACCCUGGUAGUCCACGCCCUAAACGAUGUCUACUAGUUGUCGGGUCUUAAUUGACUUGGUAACGCAGCUAACGCGUGAAAGUGACCGCCUGGGGGUAAGGUACGGUCGCGAGUAAGUUAAACGUUAACGAAGAAGUUAGACGGCGNGAGAGNGCGACGGACGACGACGAGGGAGGAGG
rnacentral:rRNA from 1 species